UCACAUUGACACACCAGUUCCCGUUCAAUCCCUGAAAUUAAGCAACAUCGAGCCUGAUCAGUAAAUAGAUGGGUGACCAUUUGGGAAUACCAGUUGCUGUAA